rnacentral:rRNA from 1 species
AACGAACGCUGGCGGCAUGCCUAACACAUGCAAGUCGAACGAGACCUUCGGGUCUAGUGGCGCACGGGUGCGUAACGCGUGGGAACCUGCCCUUAGGUUCGGAAUAACUCCCCGAAAGGGGUGCUAAUACCGGAUAAUGUCUUCGGACCAAAGAUUUAUCGCCAUUGGAUGGGCCCGCGUUGGAUUAGCUAGUUGGUAGGGUAAAAGCCUACCAAGGCGACGAUCCAUAGCUGGUCUGAGAGGAUGAUCAGCCACACUGGAACUGAGACACGGCCCAGACUCCUACGGGAAGCAGCAGUGAGGAAUAUUGGACAAUGGGCGAAAGCCUGAUCCAGCAAUGCCGCGUGAGUGAUGAAGGCCUUAGGGUUGUAAAGCUCUUUUACCCGGGAUGAUAAUGACAGUACCGGGAGAAUAAGCUCCGGCUAACUCCGUG